GACCUCAAAUCAGGUAGGACUACCCGCUGAACUUAAGCAUAUCAAUAAGCGGAGGAAAAGAAACUAACAAGGAUUCCCCUAGUAACUGCGAGUGAAGAGGGAAAAGCUCAAAUUUAAAAUCUGGCAGCUUCGCUGUCCGAGUUGUAAUUUAGAGAAGUGUUACCCGCGUUGGACCGUGUACAAGUCUCCUGGAACGGAGCGUCAUAGAGGGUGAGAAUCCCGUCUUUGACACGGACUACCAAGGCUUUGUGGUACGCUCUCGAAGAGUCGAGUUGUUUGGGAAUGCAGCUCUAAAUGGGUGGUAAAUUCCAUCUAAAGCUAAAUAUUGGCGAGAGACCGAUAGCAAACAAGUACCGUGAGGGAAAGAUGAAAAGAACUUUGGAAAGAGAGUUAAACAGUACGUGAAAUUGUUGAAAGGGAAACGCUUAAAGUCCAGUCGCGUUGGUUAGGAAUCAGCCUUGGUUUUCCUUGGUGUACUUCCUAAUCGACGGGUCAACAUCAGUUUUGACCGUUGGAUAAAGGUCGAGGGAAUGUGGCACCUUCGGGUGUGUUAUAGCCCUUGAUUGUAUACAGCGGUUGGGACUGAGGAACUCAGCACGCCGAAAGGCCGGGUCUUG
rnacentral:rRNA from 1 species